ensembl:lncRNA
AGAGGGGGCGGUGUUUGUAGGUAUUCACGAGGGCCUUCCUCCGCGGCUUCGGGACAAAUUGGACCCGAGAUUAAAGGACCGGAGUUUAACUCGAGGUGACCGCGUUCGUAUGCAAAUGGAAUCUAUAAAACUCUGCUUUCCGGGUUUCCCAGAGCACAAUCCGGAUUUUGCAGUUUCCGCUGCAGAGCCCACCUACUACUGCCACCAGGUGGCGCGCGGCCAUCAGCGUCUGGGCUUGCCCCGGGAGUCUGCCUUCAGCGACCGUCUCUGUAAAGGGCUCAUCGUGGCUGCCUCCCAAGGUCUAACCAGGCUCUACCUGGUCUGUUCCAAGACAAAGAACAAGAACACUGAUUCCUUGCCCGCCUCUAGUCUCCCGGGUUAUGCCGCAGCUUCUUCACUGGCUGCCCACUCCCCAGCUUGUCUCCCACCCGGACUCCCACCCCGCCUUACCAAUCCGUCGGCUUGUCUACGUCAUUGCUUGCUUAUUAAUUUUUAAGUCCUUAUACUGGCAUUCGCACUCCUGCCUGAUGUGACCCCUUCCACAUUUCUCAUCACACUCCUUCCCUCACCUGCUUGGCAGGAUGUUGUGUGAUCCGUCCCUGUAUUUACGGGUUGAGUGGCUGUACCUUACCAGCACUGGUUAACCUGUACUGCAUCCUUAAUCUGUAACUGCUACUGUUCUGCGGAGAAGGCAAUGGCACCCCACUCCAGUACUCUUGCCUGGAAACUUACGUGGAUGGAGGAGCCUGGUGGGCUGCGGUCCAUGGGGUCGCUAAGAGUCGGACAUGACUGAGCGACUUCACUUUCACUUUUCACUCUUAUGCAUUGGAGAAGGAAAUGGCAACCCACUCCAGUAUUCUUGCCUGGAGAAUCCCAGGGACGGAGGAGCCUGGUAGGCUGCAGUCCGUCGGGUCUCACAGAGUCGGACACGACUGAAGUGACUUAGCAGCAGCAGCAGCAGCUACUGUUCUGAGAGUUUGACAUUAACUCCGUGUUCUCUAAACCUCACAUCUGCUUUAUGAGGAGCUUUAGCUCCAAUAUUGCCCCUAUCAUAUACUGACGAAAUCAUCCGUCGGUGAUGGGCAUUCCAAACCCAAUCGGUCAAACACCAGAACUUGAAUGCUUGGCUCCUUCACACUGUUGGCUUCACCCAGUCCACUCCCAAACUCUUAUUCAUCUUUCAAGAUCCUGUUCAAAUAUCCUCUGUUGGAUAUUCAUAUCUCCCACCAGGGUACACC